GCCGAAAUAGCUCAGUUGGGAGAGCGUUAGACUGAAGAUCUAAAG
rfam:Pterocles gutturalis contig16471, whole genome shotgun sequence.